rnacentral:rRNA from 1 species
UACGGGGGGGGCAAGCGUUGUUCGGAAUUACUGGGCGUAAAGGGCUCGUAGGUGGCCAACUAAGUCAGACGUGAAAUCCCUCAGCUUAACUGGGGAACUGCGUCUGAUACUGGAUGGCUUGAGUUUGGGAGAGGGACGCGGAAUUCCAGGUGUAGCGGUGAAAUGCGUAGAUAUCUGGAGGAACACCGGUGGCGAAGGCGGCGUCCUGGACCAACACUGACACUGAUGAGCGAAAGCGUGGGGAGCAAACAGG